CAAAAAGACAGUCUCAGUUCGGAUUGAAGGCUGAAAUUCGCCUUCAUGAAGCCGGAAUUGCUAGUAAUGGCAGGUCAGCAUACUGCCGUGAAUACGUUCCCGGGCCUUGUACACACCGCCCGUCACACCAUGAGAGUUGGGGAUACCCGAAGCCUGUGAGCCAACUGUAAAGAGGCAGCAGUCGAAGGUAGAAUCAAUGAUUGGGGUGAAGUCGUAACAAGGUAUC
rnacentral:rRNA from 1 species